rnacentral:rRNA from 1 species
AGCAAACGCUGGCGGCAGGCCUAACACAUGCAAGUCGAACGAACCUUUCGGGGUUAGUGGCGGACGGGUGAGUAACACGUGGGAACGUGCCUUUAGGUUCGGAAUAACUCAGGGAAACUUGUGCUAAUACCGAAUGUGCCCUUCGGGGGAAAGAUUUAUCGCCUUUAGAGCGGCCCGCGUCUGAUUAGCUAGUUGGUUGAGGUAAUGGCUCACCAAGGCGACGAUCAGUAGCUGGUCUGAGAGGAUGAUCAGCCACAUUGGGACUGAGGCACGGCCCAAACUCCUACGGGAGGCAGCAGUGGGGAAUCUUGCGCAAUGGGCGAAAGCCUGACGCAGCCAUGCCGCGUGAAUGAUGAAGGUCUUAGGAUUGUAAAAUUCUUUCACCGGGGACGAUAAUGACGGUACCCGGAGAAGAAGCCCCGGCUAACUUCGUG